rnacentral:rRNA from 1 species
UACAGAGGUCUCAAGCGUUGUUCGGAUUCAUUGGGCGUAAAGGGUGCGUAGGCGGCGCGGUAAGUCAGGUGUGAAAUCUUGGAGCUUAACUCCGAAACUGCAUUCGAUACUGCCGUGCUUGAGGACUGGAGAGGAGACUGGAAUUUACGGUGUAGCGGUGAAAUGCGUAGAUAUCGUAAGGAAGACCAGUGGCGAAGGCGGGUCUCUGGACAGUUCCUGACGCUGAAGCACGAAGGCCAGGGGAGCAAACGGG